AUCAGCCAGCACCCAUGUACCUGCCAUCGACGUCAUACACAGCGUAUUACGCUGGUGGUGACACGGCAAACGUCCCGUGGCAAGCUUCACAAAUUGCAGGUGGAGCACGACAUUUUGGUGUCACAGACCACACAAGAUGGCCAAAUGCAGCACAACAAGAACCUACAACUACAGUGAAGAGCGGUGCGGGGACAUCUACUGCGGGGAGCUCUGAGCGCACGGAAGACGUG